rnacentral:ribozyme from 1 species
UAAAGGUUUGGGCGCACCUUUAAGCGCCGUCUAAUGUAACCACUUGCAAAAGUGAUGGUCCAAAGUCCAUGCAAAUACAGAUGGGACA